rnacentral:rRNA from 1 species
GUGGGGAAUUUUGGACAAUGGGCGAAAGCCUGAUCCAGCCAUGCCGCGUGCAGGAUGAAGGCCUUCGGGUUGUAAACUGCUUUUGUACGGAACGAAAAGACUCCUUCUAAUAAAGGGGGUCCAUGACGGUACCGUAAGAAUAAGCACCGGCUAACUACGUGCCAGCAGCCGCGGUAAUACGUAGGGUGCAAGCGUUAAUCGGAAUUACUGGGCGUAAAGCGUGCACAGGCGGUUAUAUAAGACAGAUGUGAAAUCCCCGGGCUCAACCUGGGAACUGCAUUUGUGACUGUAUAGCUAGAGUACGGUAGAGGGGGAUGGAAUUCCGCGUGUAGCAGUGAAAGGCGUAGAUAUGCGGAGGAACACCGAUGGCGAAGGCAAUCCCCUGGACCUGUACUGACGCUCAUGCACGAAAGCGUGGGGAGCAAACAGGAUUAGAUACCCGAGUAGUCC